rnacentral:rRNA from 1 species
AUGGAGUCACUGAAUUUGGAAAAAUGUCCACAUCUGCAAAUAAUUGCCUUGUGGGGUAUGGGUGGAAUUGGGAAAAGCACUCUUGUCAGUAAUGUGUUUAGAAAUGAAGCAUACAACUUUGAAUGCCGUGUAUGGGUUUCUGUCUCUCAGUCCUAUAAACUAGAAGAUAUUUGGAGAAGAAUGCUGAAAGAUAUCUAUUCUAAAGAGAAGAAAGCUUUUGAUGGUGAGAAGAUGACUUGUGCAGAGCUACAAGAUGAACUGAAAGCAAUCCUGAAGACAAAGCGAUACUUGAUCAUAUUGGAUGAUGUCUGGACAGCUGAAGAUUUCAGAAAAAUUAAAGAGGUUCUCGUCAACACAAAGAUGGGAAGCAGAAUAAUAAUCACAACCAGAUCUGAUGAAGUAGCUUCACAAGCUGAUGAUGGCUACAAGAUCAAAGUUAAGCCUCUUGAGGCGGAGGAUGCAUGGCAUCUAUUUCGCAGGAAAGCAUUUCCGAGAACUGAAAAUCACAUCUGCCCAUUAGUGUUACAGGAGUGUGGUAAAUUGAUAGUGGGGAGGUGUGAUGGUUUACCGUUAGCUCUUGUGGCCAUAGGGAGCAUAUUGUCUCUUAAGGUUCAGAAUGUUACAGAGUGGGGACUAUUUGAUGCACAACUUAUUUCUGAGCUAAACAAAAAUGUGAACCUAAACCAUGUGGUGAAAAUUCUGAAUCUAAGCUAUAAAUACUUGCCUGACUAUUUGAAAAGUUGUUUCUUGUAUUGUGCCAUGUUCCCAGAAGACCACAUGAUCCAUAGAAAAAGAUUGAUCAGACUGUGGGCUGCAGAAGGAUUUAUUGAACAAAUUGGUAAUUGCAGUUUAGAAGAUGUUGCUGAAGGCUACCUGACAGAGCUUGUUUGA